GGAAAGGGCGGCAGCCCUUACCAUGCAGUCGAACGGCAGCACGGAGCUUGCUCUGGUGGCGAGUGGCGAACGGGUGAGUAAUAUAUCGGAACGUACCCUAGAGUGGGGGAUAACGUAGCGAAAGUUACGCUAAUACCGCAUACGAUCUAAGGAUGAAAGUGGGGGAUCGCAAGGCCUCAUGCUCGUGGAGCGGCCGAUAUCUGAUUAGCUAGUUGGUAGGGUAAAAGCCUACCAAGGCAUCGAUCAGUAGCUGGUCUGAGAGGACGACCAGCCACACUGGAACUGAGACACGGUCCAGACUCCUACGGGAGGCAGCAGUGGGGAAUUUUGGACAAUGGGCGAAAGCCUGAUCCAGCAAUGCCGCGUGAGUGAAGAAGGCCUUCGGGUUGUAAAGCUCUUUUGUCAGGGAAGAAACGGUGAGAGCUAAUAUCUUUUGCUAAUGACGGUACCUGAAGAAUAAGCACCGGCUAACUACGUGCCAGCAGCCGCGGUAAUACGUAGGGUGCAAGCGUUAAUCGGAAUUACUGGGCGUAAAGCGUGCGCAGGCGGUUUUGUAAGUCUGAUGUGAAAUCCCCGGGCUCAACCUGGGAAUUGCAUUGGAGACUGCAAGGCUAGAAUCUGGCAGAGGGGGGUAGAAUUCCACGUGUAGCAGUGAAAUGCGUAGAUAUGUGGAGGAACACCGAUGGCGAAGGCAGCCCCCUGGGUCAAGAUUGACGCUCAUGCACGAAAGCGUGGGGAGCAAACAGGAUUAGAUACCCUGGUAGUCCACGCCCUAAACGAUGUCUACUAGUUGUCGGGUCUUAAUUGACUUGGUAACGCAGCUAACGCGUGAAGUAGACCGCCUGGGGAGUACGGUCGCAAGAUUAAAACUCAAAGGAAUUGACGGGGACCCGCACAAGCGGUGGAUGAUGUGGAUUAAUUCGAUGCAACGCGAAAACCUUACCUACCCUUGACAUGGCUGGAAUCCUUGAGAGAUCAGGAGUGCUCGAAAGAGAACCAGU
rnacentral:rRNA from 1 species